GGAAGUGACAUGGCUCAGUGUUGGAGCAUCUCCUUUGCAUGCAGAAGGUCCCAGGUUCGAUCCUUGCCAUCUCUC